GAUCACAACCACAUUACAUAUAACAUUUAUUAGCAACCUAGUUUUCAGAUGCAUGCUUCCUCCACUAGUCUCUGCUAUCAGUGCUAUCUCAUAGCCAGUGUUAUCGAUUUAUGCUUUUUCUACUUUUCUUCACCAGUUCCUUCUUACUAACUAGAUCAUUUACAUAUUCAUAAAGAUUUAAUUCUAGGAAAGAUACAUGGUAUCAUUUCUCAGCAUUAAGAAAAAUUUCUACUUCAAGAAUUAAAGAAAAAUGAAUUUAACUAAAAGUUCUGAAUUGUUUCUAGGAGUUACUAUUUAUCUUGUUUUCUUCAUUGUAUUUUCUUGGUCAAGACUUUUUCAAUAUUUCCCUGAUUACAACUUUCUGUGUAUUCCCACAAGCACAAACCAGGGAGAUUUAGAUACAUGUUUGUCUACAAGUUGCUUACACUGCGAUGAUCACUUUAUCUGACCUACUUGAAACUAUUCCUGAAAAUAGUAUUGAAAAGUAUUUUAACAAAGCUUUCAUUUCUCUUCCUCUACUUUAUACUCAACUAUAGUGGGAACAUACUUUAUUCCUCUUCUUUCUCUUCUUCUCUUCCUCCUCCUUUUCCUUCUUGAAACAGGGUCUAUGUAACCUGAACUGCCCUUGGACUGACCAUCCUCCUGCCUCAGCUUCCCUGGUGCUGGGAUUAUAGACAUGCACGAUCACACCUGCUCCUUUCAUUCAUCUUAGUUAAUUAAAAUUCUGACCUCAAAUCCCAUUUCCUCUAUUUGUUUAGCUCAGAAAGGGUCUUUUGUAGGAAGAGGCUCUGAGUAGAAAUCUAGAUUUGUUUUCAUUCUUACGGCAUUUGUCGUAUCAAAGUAUCUUAAGACAACAGUGGAAAAUGAUCAGUGCUGUUUGAGCAGCCUUUGAAAUGACAGUGGCACAAAUGGAAACUAUUCUACUUUUAUUUUUUAAACUAACUCAUAUUAAACAUUCCAAUCCGACUCAGGGUAUCCUGCGAAGCCUGCUGAGAUGGUUCACUGUCCUGCUCCCAGACAGUGCCUGUGCCGGUGUUGGAGCGGGACAUGGUGGCAAGGCUCAGGCGUGCUCACUGGCCACAGCCCAUCCCAGCGGCAUUCCUGCCCCAGCCCUGUCAUAGUGGAGAGCACAGUGUUCGUGGGGCUGUGACUGUGGAGGGAGGGGCACACACCACACCUUGCAUUGGAUGAAAGGACGCAAGAGCACGAAGAUGGGUAUCCGGGUGCGCACGAUGAAGUCGAGGAAGUCCCACAGGGCCAGGCCGCCCACCUUCCGCAGGGCCAUCUCCUUCACCUGCAGGCUCAACCAGUACCACUGGCUUCCCAGCUGCCUCUCAAAGCAGACGAGAAUCACCUUCAGUGCUUCACACCCGGAGGAGAGAAAAGACAGCCUGAGGACUGUGCCUACCAUAGCCACUGUCCAUAGCUACAACACCAAGGAAUCUUCGCAACUUCUAAACUCUAUGUUUCCAAAAUCUUAGCACGUACUCUUGAGCAAGGCAUCAAGGCAAAAUGUUGGUAUAAUUAGUAUAGUAAAUGUUUUGCCCGCAAUUGUUUCUCACAAGUGCACUGAACACUUGGAAAACAAAGCAGAGCCGUCCAUCGGAUUGAAAGAAAAAUAAAAACAUGAUGUGUGACUGA